rnacentral:hammerhead_ribozyme from 1 species
AUCCAGCUGACGAGUCCCAAAUAGGACGAAUCGCGCCUUGUCCUGGAU